rnacentral:rRNA from 1 species
AUUGAACGCUGGCGGCAUGCCUAACACAUGCAAGUCGAACGAGUGGCGGACGGGUGAGUAAUGUCUGGGAAACUGCCUGAUCGAGGGGGAUCACUACUGGAAACGGUAUCUAAUUCCCCCUACCCUCCGAUGUGCCCAGAUGGGAUUGGCUUGUUGGUGGGGUAACGGCUCACCAAGGCGACGAUCCCUAGCUGGUUGGAGAGGAUGACCAGCCACACUGGAACGGAGACACGGUCCAGACUCCUACGGGAGGCAGCAGUGGGGAAUAUUGGACAAUGGGCGCAAGCCUGAUGCAGCCAUGCCGCGUGUAUGAAGAAGGCUUCCGGUUUGUAAAGUACUUUCAGCGGGGAGGCGUUACCCGCAGAAGAAGCACCGGCUAACUCCGUGCCAGCCGCCGCGGUAAUUC